rnacentral:lncRNA from 1 species
GCCGUCCCUGCCAUAAAGCCAGUAAAACUAGAGUUUUAGGCCACAAAAUUACAUACAUUACAAUAUUUGAGGCCACAUUUUUGAAAAAUGAUUAUAGUUAAGUGGUUAAAAACAUUAUUUUCACUUUUUGUUCAGCUGGAGUCUUGCAUUUUCAACGUUAUGGUUUAUGUUGAAUUUGUAAUGUUUCCUCUUUAUUUUUUUUUCUAUUUUGACAUAUGUGUUUUUUUUUUUUUUUUUAAAUUUACUAUUAUUCCAACCCGAAACCGGGAAUCACAGCAUCCGUUACAAGCUUAAAUCGACCAAAAUGUUCUAAAUCAGACCUAGCUAGACUAACUUCGCUCGCCCACUAAACCGACGCCAUCCACUAGCUUCGUUCGGAAAUCCUUAGAAUAUCAAGCACUGUUCUCUGCCGUUGAUGUUAACCACUUGAACGUGGGGUUUAUCUCUCGGAUGCCGGUAUUCUCGUGACAUCAACGUAGUAGCUGGAUUUUGAGGAUCUCCUCAAGCUUGUAACUUUAACCGUCAAUGAAGCUCGACAAGGCGGAAUGAGGUGAAAGAUAGCGAACCUUGUGAAGUGCCAUCAAGUCCUCAAGACCGCUAACAACGAAGGGAGUGAGACGCCAUAGCCGAGGGACAACACGACUUGAACAGACGACACCGAACCUCCUGACAAACGGAUUGCAAUGAAGGCGACACUAGAAGCAAUCACUUCAUUACCCUGCAAAAAAGAUAGAGUUUAGUCUACGCAGAAGACCAAGAAGCCUUCUCUGCACUCGGAAGACCAAACUCCGCCCAGGCCUCCUCGCCAUCUGCUACCCGAAGACUCAAACGAGCAAGUAAAAUGACGACCUGGUUCAAACUUAGAGAACCUAAGUUGAUCUUCUUUGAAACUGCUAGGCCAUUCCACGCUGGAGAUACGCAGGACGACCGACAGAAGGGCUGAAGAUAACAAGACCAUUCGCGAGAUGGUCUGAACAUUGCGCCAGACAUGAGAACAGAUCUACAAGGAAAGAACAACCGCAGGAAAAGACGAGAACACUGCCAUAGACGACAGUUCCUCAGCACGACUCCGGAAUUGCAGACGCCAACCACGGGGACACAGCUGCCACACGACUACCGUAAACCCGUGCACGAACCGACGGAGAACCGCCGCCUCUCCUGAUCGAAAACAGACAAACCUCCGAAGCAGGACACCCAGCUCCGUCGAGAUAGAAAGCUUCGCGAACCACUCCACAUCGAGAGACCUCGAGAUAAGACCAACCUAGAGAAACAGGGAGAGAGAGAUCUCGAUACAUCACGCGCCAUCACCGCCAAGGAAACCAGACAGAUCUACAAAUACAAAAUGAAAUCGCCGGAUUCCAAAACCCUAAAAGCCGACUCCGAUCAACUCACAGCCUCCACCGCCUCGUCUCACCUCCAGAGGCAGUCAUAACCACUGGAUCUGUCUCCCCCCGGGAGGAUCUAGGAUUCCAAUUUCAUGACCUUUCCAGAGCUCUGACAUAUCAACGGUAAGGGACAGCAAGGGACUGAAGCAAAGAUAAAAAAAGAGAGAAAAGGGGAGGAGAAGGCGCCUCCGACGGUGGAGCUAACGUACACCGGCAAGCCGCUGAUGUCUCCACGCGCCGGAGCAAGAUGGUUCUUCGUAAGUCGUAGAGAGUGGAGAGAGAAUUGGGAACAGUGGAGAGAGAGAGAACCUUGUUAUACGUGUUUUUCUUUUAGUUUGAAUAACUUACUUGUUAUUGUUUUAUAAAACUUAUUUGCUCUUUUUAUUAUUUUUGUUUUACUUAAAAUAGAAAUUAUAAUAAUUCAGACAAACUAGUGAUUUUUAUUUAUUAAAAUAUAUACUAAUAAUCUAAUAUUUAUCUGAACUUUUGAUAUAUAACUAGACUAAUAUACCAUUUUAUAUUUUAAAGAAAAUAUUAUAUCUAUAUUUGUAUAAAUAUAUUUAAGUUAAAUAUAUGCUGCCGUAUAUAAAUAUGCUUUAGGCCUCAAAAUAUAUGGGGGCGUGGAUACAAUAGAUAUAUAAGAAGUUAUUGGAAUAACCUAUACGAUAAUUGCGUACAAUGGCGACGAGUUAGACGAAAUACUUAUGAAAUAUGAUGAUAUACAUAAUUAAAAGAUUCAAUAAUUACUUAAUAACUAGAACCUUUCCCGGGCUACGCCCGGGUUUUUGCAUAAAAUUAAUAAAAUAUAAAUUUGCAUAUUAUUUUAUUUAAGUACAUAUACAUGUGGUGUUUUUUUAAAGUACAUAUACAUGUAUAUUUUUUUACAGAAUUGAAAAAUGAAAUAAUUUAUGACUUUGAAGCUAUUUAAAUUAAACUUUAUUGUUUUUAAUAUCUAAAAUAAAAUAGAAUUAACAAAAACUAAUUAAGUCUUAGUUAUAAUCCAAUUCCUCAUCUUUACUCAUUUGAGUUCUUUUUUUUUUUUUGUAAAAGACCUAUUUAAGUUCUCAGUAUAAGAAAUUGUUAGAUUUAUAAUGAUUUAUAUAUUUUUGGUUAGGAUCAAUACUGAGUUUCUAUUCAAAAAUUUAUAUGGAUUUAUUUAUAUAUAAUCUAUUAAAAUAGAAGUCAUGACACCUUUUAUGUGUGAUUUUUUUUUAUUUGGAAAAUUCUUAAAAUAUUUAUGAAAUUUUACAUAACUUAAUUAUAAUAUAUUUAUUUUUAUUUAAAAUACUAAUAAAUAUCUUAAGAAAAUGUCUAACAAAAUCUUUCAAAUAUCUUUUAGAAUCUUUUAAAGCUUUAUUUUCGAAAUUAUUUAAUUAACAUUUUAAUUAUGACAGUAUAAUUAGAAACUAAAUAGUAGUUUAGUUUUGAUUGUAAACAAAAAUUAAAAAUUAUAUAAAAUACUUUUAAAAAUAUUUUAAUUAUAAUAACAAUUUUAAAUUUAUUUAAUUUUCAAAAUUAAUCUUAAGAAAUAUUAAAAAGGAAAUAUUCAUUUCUAUUUCUGAUUUAAAAAUAAAAAUAUGUUAUCUAAGAAAUUAUGAUAUAUUUAACACAUGAUUUUUUUUUAAAAAAAAAUUAGACAACUUUUUGUUUUUUUUUGACUUCAACAUAAAUGUUCUUACCAUGCAAUAUAAUUAAUUUACACCUCUUUUCAUAGAUGAAACAUUUGAUAUUUAUUCAUAUCGUAUAUAUAAGAAUUUAUUCUACUGUUAUUGACGUCAGUGUAUUCCCAUGAGCUAAAAAAAACAAUUCGGUUCAUUAUUUAUACAGUUAUACUAAUUUGGUUUAAUUAUUUACUAUAUACCAAAUUCUCUAAUAAUGUUAUACGCCAUUAAAAUAUUAUUAUAAAUUUAGAUAAUAUAUCUAACACCAAAAUUUAUUAAUUUAUUGAUAUAUUUUAUUGAAUAACUUAACUUAUUUUAGUGAUAAAAGAACUGGUUUGUUUCAUGUGGCAAAACAAAUUCCAAAUAAAAAAAAUCAAGAUAAUAAUAUUCUACAACAUUUUUUUUUGUUUUUGAAAAGAGCAUUUUUUUGUAUGGUUAUAUUUUGGCUUCAGAACUAUUGAAUUCAAAGAUAAAAUGAUUGUUUUAUACACUUCUAACUUCUUCCCAUUUUAGGAUUAAGGUAAGAGUUCCAAACAAUACUUAAAACAUGAAUACAUGGUUGUAAUAAAGUGAUUAAGUUUUAAAAAGGUAAUUUGUAAAUUCUUCACAGCAAAUCAGUUUCCUGAGUCCAAAGCAAUCAUUUCACUGUACUAUUUGAUGUGUCUUUUUACUUUGUUUCCUCUUAAAUUCCAACAACCACUUCGUUUCUCACAUGCAUGUUUCUAUAGAUUUCAAUGAGCACCGACGCUGUGAUUCUCAAGAAUAUAGUCUUCAGGAACCAUCUAGUUCCACGAUUUUCCACGAGUCAUAAGCGUAUAAAAACAGUAAACCAAAACUAAGAACAUAGUCAGGUCUUAUUCAAUUUCUUUACCAUUCUCCUUGCAAGACGAAACUGAAUUUUCCAAUUCAGUUUCUAUUCAUAUAUGUUCCUCCAUAUUUUGUUGAUCAUACACUAUCUCUUGAGCCUCCCUUUUUUUCCUCUCAAGAUAACCCAGCCACAAAAUGGUGACUCUCUUCUCUGUUUGCUCUGCAGUUUCUAUCCUCGACCACACAAUGUUAUCUCUCUGGCUCUCUAUACAGUCCUGCGUAUUCGCUUGAGCCUCUCUCACCCUCCUGUGGUUGUUAGUGUUCUCACAAUUUCUAAAGUAUAAACAAAGACAUUUUAUAUAAGAAAAAAAAAAGCAACUUAGUAUUAUAACCGGUAGGAACCAGUAAAACAGAGCUUGCCUAAAUUAGUUUACUCAAGUUCACUACACUCUUAAAGAGUAGCAAGGAUUCCUUGUAUUGCAACACUACAUACUUCAUAGCUGACUCCCUGUAAUAUGUCUUCCAAGAUAUUCAAAUAAGUGAUCUUAUUCCUGGCAAAAUAGACAAAAUUAUAGAGUAGAAAUAAGCUCAUAAAUCAGUUAACUGAUAAACGUCUGUCUGAAUCGUAUAUAAUAAAUAACAAAACAUGCAUGACCCGAGGUUGAUGUUAUGUUUACGGAAGUAACGUGCUACUAUGUGAACAUGCACUUAUACAAUAACGUAAGAACAUUCUCAAUAUGCAAAAGUAAACUUAGCACCAAGCCACCAACUUAUAUGUAUCAUGUCAACAGUUUAUUAAAGCUGGAAAUUAUCAACUACCUAUCGUCAAGCUUUAUUGCUGCCAUGAGGCGUCGAGUGCUCUGGGUGUCUUGGUUUUACAUGGGUUUGAUGCCCCUAAUCUCUCCAACAAUAUCUGAUGACCAAGAUAAACACAUACGCUACUUAUCUGUGAAAUAAUUAAUUAUUAUAUGGUGUGUGGCAAGGAAUUUGUAGCUAUUCAAACCUGGCAAAUGACAUGAGAUUCGUAUUUGCAGAACCUGAAGCUCUCCUCCGGGCUUGGCUCAGCUGUGGCUGUGAAUUCCACGAUAAACUUAAAUCGGAUUGCUUCUUGCAACAUUGAAACCACUUAAUCCAUACACGAAGCCUUCUUGCAAGAUAUGUUGGAAGAGUGAAGACAGUUUGAAGGUUGAUUGACCUCUAGAUGAUUGUGGCCAGCGAGUCUGCAACAGGAGUAUAUUAAACAAAUUACAACAAACACCAAAUAUCAAAUCUAUUAAUCCUCUAUAACAGAAAGUAAGUAUUCAAGUUACCUUUGCAUCAUAUUAUAUCAGCAAACAAAGACAGAAUCAAUUAACAAAACCAAACCACUUAAACUCUAGAUUCUAAAUCAAUAAACAAAGCCUAAAUCAUCUUACAUCAGCAAAGGUAAAUAAAACCAGUAAAACUAAAAAAAAAAAUAUAGACGCAAGAUUUCCAAAUCAAUAUACAAAACCAAAAUCAUCUAAACCUGGAUUUCAAGAUAUUUGAAUAUAAUGAUUUUUUUAUCACCUUUGCAUCAAGGAGGAGCAUAUCAACGCCCUUGAGUUCACCACCUUGCCUUUCUGAAAUAGGAACAGAUAUAAAAUAUUGAGCUUUACCUUUUGGGUUGGCUAUAUAUAUAUAUAUAUUCAUGAGUGCAAUGAAGUGGAUAAGCUAAAACGAUACCUCUACUGGAGAAGAGUAAAUGAUGGCCGUGGUGGAUGAUAUUAUUAAACUACAAACUAAAUCUAGCUGAUAUCAGCCUUGAUGAAAUGAUCUUAAUACCAUUUUUCAAAUCGAGGUGCAAACUAAAAAAAGAAGUAAAGACAGACCUGACUCCAAGGAUGAGAGCAGCUUCACGCCUGUGUCAUGGCAGCUUGGAAACCACCUUCAUAAAACUUGCGCAUUCUAGGCACGAUGGGCCUGGCCUUGAAGGCUUGCCAAGAGUGUAUACCAUAUCUACCAGCUAUAGCAGCAGCAGCUACUGCAGCACCUGCAACCAUUGGCGUAGCCUGUGUGUAACCAAAAAAUAAACGUCAGAUAACAAAAUUAAAAAAAAAGGAACCCACAGAUUCAAAGAUUAAUCUCUCUCUCUCUCUCUCUGUUAUAACCACAGAAGAGGUGACAGAUAGGGAGGUUUCAUUAUUGUUACAAAGAUUGAAAGAGUUGUAACGGAGACAUCAAAUGGCAGAACCUGAUAGACUUCAACCCUUCCUGUGAUGGGGUUUCCUGCUCUUCUUCUCAUUACCUCUUAGAAGAACCCCUCCCAACGCGUGAAUCUUCAUCAUCGCCUGAGACAUCAGAGUCGGAAGAAGCUGCCACUUUGUUCCUACGCUUCUGCCUUCUACCACUUGCAUCAUCCUCAGACGAAUCAGAAUCAUCAGACCGGUUACGCCUGCUCCUCCUUUCUCCUCUUCUCCUUCCUACUCUUUCUCUUAACACUUCUCCGAUCUUCAUCAUAAGACUCAUCAGAAUCAUCAUCAUCUCUCUUUCUCCCUCUCCUCUCCUUCCUUCUCUUACUCCUACCAUCUUCCUCCUCCUCCUCAGACUCACUCACACUCCUCCUCUUAUGCGUCCUCCGCUUCUUCGACCUCCUCCUCCUCUUCCUAUCUCCAGAAUCAGACUCAGACUCAGACUCAUCCCGCUUCUUCUUCUUCUUCUUAACACUACUACUACUGCCACUCCCCUUCUUCUUCUUCCCAUACCUCUCAGCAAUAAUCUUCUCAAUCUCAGAAUCAACAUCAGAAUCCUCACUCUCACUCUCCUCCUCCUCCUCCUCACUACUCUCCUCCUCCUCAACCUCACCUCUCCCCACGCACCUCCUAACCUUCUCCAAGACCCGCGAGCCUCAUCAUUAUUCGACCCAGUGAUGUGCGCUAGAGCCAAAAGACCCUGGAAGCUCGCGUAAGAAUUCUCAGGGUCAUCAGACUUCUGCUGAGUCGUCUUCGGCUCUUCCUUGGCCGUCGGCGCGUAGGGAUCGUACCCGAUCGCGCUCUGCCAUAUGCCGUGAGUCUGAAGCGCCGCGCUGCUGUGAACACGGUUGUUCGCAGGCAUGCGAACUCUUCCCGCGGUGGCCGGCAUCUUUCACGAAACCCUAAAGAAUCUCACAACCAGAUCAGAUCGGAAGGAAUCGCAGGAGAGAGAGACGGAGCUUUGGUUCUUUCCUCUCUUAUCGUCUGAUUGAGAAUAAGAGAGGCGAAAAAGAAUUUGCAGGGAUUUGUAACGAUGAAAACAAAGUGAAGAAUUGGAGACGACAUAUUACUUUGGUUUAAAAGCAACUCCGAAGCAGGCUGACCCAUCAAACCGAAAAGCCCAUUUUUUUCUUUGGACAAAUGCGGUAAUGACAUGGCAGAACAUAACUUUUUCAUUGGUUGAUAAUUUUUUUUGACGUGGAGGGCCUCUCCAUUGAGGAUAUUUGGCUUUUAGUAGUGUUAGAUGUUGGAGUUAAAUAUUUGUACGCCGAAUAGUGAACGAAAAUUCGAUACGCCGAAUCAAAUAUCAAAGUCGCUACAAAGGUAAAAUAAAAUAUCAAAGUCGGUUGAUUACAACAAGGAAAUAAGGGAAAAAUAAUUAGGAGAAAUGUGGGUUAGGCCAAUCAUGUCACUUGAGCACAUGGAACCAUCAUCCAGUUUCUAUCUUCUUUACCUGUAAGAAACAAUUACAUGUUGACAAAAAGAAAAGAAAAUAAAUAACUACACAGCUCAUUGCUUCUCUCAUAUCUACUCAUUUCAUACACACACAGAAAAAGCAAGAAAUUUAUUGAUCGUUAUAUAUAUCAUGGAAAAUCUGAUGAAGUGAACCUGUAGAUAAUAAAUAUCAAAAAUCACCUGGAGAAAGAGAAAAUUAGGUAAAAUCAUUCACUGAACGAACAUACUGAAAAAGUAAGAAACCUAAUUAUCUAUUAAGAGCAUCUCCAAUAUAUAACUCUAUUUUUUUUUCCAAAAUGGAGUAAAAGUGAAAAUGGAGUAAAAUUACUCCAAUCCUACUCUAUUUUUCACUCUAUAAUGGAGUGAUGAACAAACAAAAAAUAGAUUACUCCAUUUAUGGAGUAAAUUUCAUUAUGAAGUAAGAUAUGGAGUUGGGUUGGAGCAUUCCUUACUCCAUAUUCACUUUUACUUUAUUUUAGAGAAAAAAAUUGGAGUAGGGAUAGAGAUGCCCUAACAAAAAAACUUACAAAAAUAUAAGAGCAUUAGUAUUGAUGAGAAACACAUUCAAUUUUUCAAAUCAAAUUUUAAUGUUAAAACUAAAUUAAGGAUUGAGAUUUUAACAAAUGCUAAACGAGAUUUAAAAAAAAACAGUAAAAUGUCUUAAAACUUCUACUCCUUUUCUAUUUUUAAUUUAUUUGUUCAUAAAAAAACUCUUAAAAAAUUAUCAAUGUUGAUGCUCUAAGUUACUUGUUGACAAAAUUGUAAACUUCGUAAUAUUCUGAUUAUUUUGAAAACAAAAUGAAAAACAAAUACUACAGUGUGACAAUACAAUACUCGUUGAAGAUUAAUUUGCCGUCACCGAAAAAGAUAAUAAAUACAGUCCAAAAUAGUGCGGUGCGCAACUGCUCAUUGCUCUUUCCAACUGAUUAUUUUCAUAGUUGAUGAACUAAAACCUUUACGUGUCAUAAAUCAAUUCCACAGUACAACAUAAAACAGUUCUUAAACAGUUAAACUAAAAUUGAUAGUGGGAUAUAUAGUAAAAUACUGAAAACAUUCAUUCAAAUUAAAUUAUUCAAUGCGUUGGUGUAAAGUGACAUGUAUACACUUGGCCUUACAUGCGUACUCGUGUAUAAAAACACUAACAAAUGUAAUUCACAAGUCACACAACAAAAACAACUUACAACAAUAAGAGCAAACCCUUUUGUUAUCCUUCUCUUCAUUUGCUCUCCAUACGCCAAAUAUAAUAACAAUGGUGGCAAUGAAGAUGAAGCUUUUCGUGGCGGUUUUGGUUGCAAUGAUAGCUUUCUCUGCGGUGGUUCAGCAAUCGGCUGCAGCGGUUGACGCUCCUGCACCGAGUCCUACCUCCGAUGCAUCCUCGUUUAUCCCUACUAUCUUCACCUCCGUCUCGGUUUUGGUUGCUGGAUUACUCUUUUGAGAAGUAAUUUUCUUUGUGUGUUUUUAUUUAGUUAAAAUAAGAUCAACCGAUUGAUGUUUAAGUCUGGUCUUGUUUGUGUCUCUUUGAUUUCCUGUAGUUGCUUUUAUGUCUUGAGUUUGAUCUCUUUCUAUUUCUUUUCUCUAUUUUCCAUGUAUGGUUGUCGAAGUUGACUCAUCCUAAUAUCAAUAAUAUUUAUUAUUUCCGUCUUGAUAUUAAAAUUUAUUUAGUUAAAAUAUUGAAAUGCAUAUGAUGCAAACAAUAACCGAGAAACUUGCAUACCGGUAGGCAGGAUCUAACUGGAUCAAAUAGUCUACUAUAUUUGGUUUGUCUAGUGUUUUUUGUUCAAUAUUGGUUUGGUUAUCGUCCGACCUUUAGUUGAAUACUAAAUUCGAAUCUUAAGAUAAAAGCAAUUUUUAAAGCUGCUAAUAUGCUUCCUUUUUCAACUGAGAGUGAACAAAAAGCAAACACUUUUAAGUUUCCACAUGGCAUAUAUUUUGAAAUGUAACUAACUAAUUUAAUUCAUCCAAAAGAGUUUCUAAUUUGUUUAGUACUGACGCACAUUUCACCAAAACAGUUGUUUUCCUUUGAGUUUGACUGGAUCAGGAUUACUAUACAAACCAAACUUUUGAUGUUCUUUUCUGGGGUAAACUAGUCAACGUAAGUAUCAAAUUAGAGGGAAAAAACAAAAGGUGGUAAAUUCAAUAAAUACGUCAUACUUACCCUAUAAAAUACAAGAUUUGAAAGAUUAGUAGUACAUAUGUUGAGCAAACAAAUCAAUCAAAACGCUUCCUGUCAUCUGUUGUUCUUGCUUUCUUAUCUUGAGCCGUCUUAUAGUGUCUUACUUCCCUGUGUAUAGAGCGGAAUACAAAUAAACGAAAGAAGAUGGGUUUUAAUCGGCCAGAUAUUGGACAUUAAACAUAUAAGCCAUGGACUUACCCGUACUAUAUAUAUUGAAAAUGACAAGAAUUUCUUACAAGUUGCGUAGAGCGACGCCACAACUGGAGUCUGGAUACAGUUUACUUAUAAAACCUUAUUAGCCACGAGUUUUGACUCCAAACAAGACCAUCGGUAUCAGUACGUACGGACAAUUAAAGUGCUCAAAGCUAAGCAAUAUUGACUUAAACAAAAGUGGACUCUUCUUUAGUUGCCAGAAGUUUUCAGUGAGUUUUCGUCGAGAAGUGUGAAGCCUUAGAUUAGAAUACCGUCACGUCACCACCCAGGUUACUUAGGAUAAGAUUGUUGUUAUUACUUAAUAGCAUAGGACAAUAUUAGCGCAAGUUGUGCUUCUGAUUUCUCGAUGACGGGCACUGAUUGUUAUUAGUACCUAACGAAACAUUUGCUUGAUUUCUUUUAGCUUGCAGCCUAAGUUUCUUUGGUGUUGACUUAUUAACACAAGUUACCGAAUGAAACAACUGAAAUCACAAUUAACUGUCUCGUCUCUUGCUUGUUGCGAAGUUGCUAACGUUAGUGUUGUCUCUUUCGUAACCUAUUAUUAUUACCUAUAACAGUCAAAUUGAGAGAACCACCGGUCGGAGACUUACUAUAGCAACCAAGACACAUUAAACAUCAGCCGUGGAAGCUCUUCUAAGCAGGGCCAGCCCAGAGAUUUGGGAGCUGUAGACCAAUGUUUCACUUAGCUAUGCUCAGGACCUCCCCUGACAGUCGCGAUUCUAGCAUGGAGAAAGUGAGAGAUAUGUUCAUCUUAUUUCUAUGUUUUGUAACAUUAUGUUGUGGUAUUGUGACAGGAGGAUGAGAUCACUCGAAACUUAAAGUGGAAAGUUUAUAAGCUCUUUGAAGCGUCUCUGAAGUCAACGUUUCCCAUAUUAGAACGCGAGCUUCGGAAGUUGUCCUUUUAGUUGAGUUGUUUGAUCGAUGAGGCCAAGGCCCGCAGUAAAGGUAUCUUUAUUGAACGUGGUAACAUUGAUUUCUGUUUACCGCAUCAUUUACAUUUUGGGGACUCUUGAGCUGUUCACUCAACCUUGAGUUUAACUCCGUGCAGGUACAAAAGAAAGGACUCCUGAAGAGCUGGACCAAACAGCCGAGGCAUUUGAAUAUGGUGCUGUAAAGUAGUGUCUGAUUAUGAGGAAAUGAUUCCUCCUUCUCGGAAUCACUCCUGUUUACAAGCUUUGAUACAUACAACUAAACGACCUAAAGCAAGUCUGCAAACAAGUCUGUUUAACUUUUUUUUAUACAAUUAAGACAUUUGAAUCUCUCUUACAGCAAGAGACGAGACUGAGUUUUCUUACAAGUCUUCUUCAAAGUUGCCCAGUUCUUGAAGCACGAACCUCAAAGUUAUUUGAUUCCAAUGUUCGAGUUAAUCCCACCUCAUGAAGAUAUUGGAAAGCUUUUAAAAAGGUGUGCAGCUCUUGAAGAUUUGGUCAUAACUCGUACCAGAGAUGACAAUGUGAGACUAUAUAAUAUCAACAAUGUGCCUACUUUGAAGAGUUUAACUAUCAAUAAAACUCAAGCGAGAAACGCCCCAACGACGACAAGGAGAUUCAUGGGUUUUGGAUAAAUGCUCCUGCUUUGGAGACUUUGAACAUUAAUGAUACAGUCAGUAACUUUCUUAUGCUUAAGUUUAUGCCCGAGGUGACCAAAGCGAAUAUCCAGGUUACUUGUGUCCAAACUGAGAAGUUCAUUGGAUCUCUUACCUCAAUCCAACAUUUUUCUCUCUGUUCUCGAUCUUCUUAGGUAAGAACCUAAUUUAUUACCCCAAUAAUGUCAAAAAAGUUUCUUCUAUGUUUGGUUAUUCUCAGUAUAUAUACGUACUUCAUUUUGCAGACUCCAUAUCGCCGUGGCUCUGUAUUUCCCUAUCUUGAACAUCUAGAGCCAUGUACAUGUUCUGCGGGAUGGGCCAAUCUUCUUGCUUCUAUACUCAAUGACGCUCCAAGGCUCCAAUCUUUAAGUCGGUAUGUAGUAUUGACUUUUUUUUACUAGCCACGACCAAACGUGAAAUUUUGGAGGCUACACGCAGUUCAAGGAUUUUAAUAUAAAAACUAGAUUUUAACCCGUGCAACCGCACGGGUGUUUGUUUUCACUUUUCUAUAUAUAAAUUAUUGUUUUAGAACAUAAUUGGUAUAUAUUUUUAAUGUUAAUCAUAUACUUAAAUAUUUAUAUAACUAUUUCAAAUACAAUGUUUUUAUAAUUUACAUGUUAUAAUUAAUUAAUUGUUUACAUCGUAUGUAUACCACUUCUUAUUAUAUGUUUAUCUUAUUGUAUUUGCAUUUAGUUAUUAAGCAAAUUAAUAUAUUAAUGAGAAAAUAUAUUUAAAAAUUAUUUUGUAUUUAAUUUAUGCUAAAUUCUGAUCCGCCUUUCAAAACUGAAUUUUUUUUACCAAUAUUUUUAUGCUUAUUCAUUUUAGAUAAUUUAUUAUUGUAUAUAUAAAAGUCUAAGAUAUGUUAAUUUUCAGACAUGUAUUAUAUAGUUUGUUAAUUUGAAGCUGUUCUAUCAUCAUAUUAUAUUUUAAAUAAAUAGUUUAUAUUUAUGAAAAUAAAAUUUAUAAAUUUAUCAAUUGAAUAUAAUUUUAUCAUAUUUAUUUUAGUAUAAUAAUUAAAUUUUAACAUGAUCAUGACUAUAAAGUAGAUAAAAUAUGAUAUAAUUUAUUUAUUUUCAUUUUUAAACGAUAACUUAAAAUACAUUAAGUUAUUGUUUAAAUAUUUUUACACAGAUUUAUUAGAAUUUUUAAAAUAUAAUAUAUAAAUAUAUAUUAUAUUUAAAAUGAAAAUAUAUUAUGAUUAAAGUAGUUACAAAGAUUUUAUAUUAUUAACUUUAAAGAAAUACAUGUUAAUUUUUAUACAUGUAUUAUAUAGUUUGAUAAUGUUAACCCAUCUUACAAACAUAUUAGAUUUUAUUUUUGAACAUAAAUAUUUUAUAAUUACGAAAAUAAAAUAUAUAAAUAUAUAAAUUUAAUACAAUUUUAUUAUAUUUAGCUCAAUAUAAUAAUUUUAAUUUAAUAUGAUUGAUUAUGAUUAUAUAAUAACUAAAAUAUUAUAGAUUUUUUUAUUUUUCAUUUUAUAUAACUGAAUAUAUUAAUGUAUAAUAAUAUUUUAAACUAAUUUCGAAAUUAGCAAAAAUAUUUAAAUAUAAUUUCGAAAAUGAAGAUCUUGUAAAAAUCUUUUUAAACAGAUUUGUUAGAAUUUUAAAAUAAAUAUAUUUAUAUUUAAAAUGAAAAGAUAUCAAAAUAUAUUAUGAUUAAAAUAUUUUAAAAAUUCUAUUUAUUAUUAGUCUAAACUAAAAUGUAAUAUGAAUUUCUAUGAAUAGGUCCAUUAGGUCCAUUUUUUUAAAAAUCACACAUGAAUCAAGGUUGUGACUUCUGUUUUAAUAUAUAAGAUUAAAAAUUAUACAAAUUUGGGGAUCUAUGUUUAUGUUAUUUAUUUCUUAAAUUUAGAGGAUAUAAACCAAUGUUUUACAGAAAAAUAAUAUGCCAUCAGACCAUUUUAUGUUUCCACCUUUAUUUUUGAACGAUCUACACUUGAGAGCUACCGUCCACAGAUGAAGACCAAAAUAAAUAUGAUUUUAAUAUGAUAUCUAUUUUUUAUAAAUCAAAAUAUCAAAAAACCAAACCGAGAUCAGACUGAAAUUGAAUAAACUAAAAAUCGGAACCAAACCAAAACGGAUGUGAUUUUAAUAUGAUAUCUAAUUUUUAUACACCAAAAUAUCGAAAAACUGAGACUUACUUCGAACAUAUGGUUCUUAUGCAUGUCUCACUCCACGGAAAGUGUGGAUCUCGUCCUAGUAUAUAUAUAUAACGAAAUCAGAAAUCAGUUACCAUAAAUAACAAAAUUCAUUGAUAAAAGAAAAAUAUAUAGAACCCACAUAAUGCUGAAAUAGACACUUUUAGAAAAGAGGAAAGUCUUUCAUUAUAUACAUAUAACUUUUCUAUGUUAUUCAUAGGGCUGGACAUUUUAUCUGUUAAAUUUGAUUCGAUUCGUUAUUAGUUUUGAUUCGAUCCGAAAAUUCCGGAUAUCCGUAAACUUACGAAUCAAAUCACAAAUAUUAAAAUAUUGGGAAGCGGAUAUCCGAUCCGAUCCGACAAUAUAUAAAUAUAUGUAUAUCUUGAUUAUAUUUAAAGUUUUUAAUGUAUAAAAUUAUAUAAUUAUUAUUCUAACAUAUGAUUUGAUAAAUUCUAUUCACAUUAUUACUUAUAUAAAAGUAUUAAAUUAAAGGCACAAUUAUGACAAUUAUAAAUUUUUUCUUAAGUUUUGUGUUAUUAUAAUUGUUAACUAACUUCAAAAAAUUUACAAAAUAUGUAGAUUUUCUACUCCUUGUCAUAUAUAUCAUGCAAAAAAAUUUUACAAAACAAAUAUGUAUCAAAUUUUUAGGAUUAUUUGUAUUAAUCAAAACAUAUGAAAUAUCCGUAAGUAUUCGUAAAUAUCUGUAAAUAUCUAUUUAUUUUUCGGAUAUCCGUUUUUCUGAAUAUCCGUAUUUUUCCGAAGCAAAGCAAAUCGAAAAGUUAAACAUCCGUGAUAUACGAAGCAAAUCGCAAAUACCUUUAAAACCUGGAUAUCUGAUCCGUGCCCAGGCCCAGUUAUUCAUUGGGUUGAGCCAAAGUCGGCAUUUUAUGAUUCCGGUUAGAGAGUUACCAAAUCAGGAAUAUUGGGAUAAGUCAAAACUAGACUUCUUUUCCACGUAGAAUGAAACUAACCUUUGCUGAUUAUUUUCCUCUUCUUCGUAUAUAUCUAUACUAUUAAAAGAGAAGUAUAAAUAAGAAAUAACCCUAAGACUUAAAACUUAAUUACAACUAGGUGACCGGUCCGCACCCUGUGCGGGCAUAAGAACAUGAUCGGUCCGGACCCUGUGUUCUCUCUCGGUCCGUACCUCACGAGAGGGAACACAGUAACGCCAGUAUGAAGAGGCAGAUAUUGUGUGUAUGUAUAAUUGCAACGUCACAAAAUAUUUUGUGUGUUUACGAAGAUACUUUCAUUCAAAAAAUGGAAUAAAUAGUGUAUAGUUUUAGAAGUAACAGAUUUUAUAUUAUCAUUAAUUAGAAUUGUAUUGUAUAUGUUUCGUAAUUCUUUAUUUUAGGUGAAUAAUAUUAUUUUUCCAUAAAUAAUAAACAAACAUUUAUGUAGACAUAUUAAAAGAAAAUAUAAUAAAAAUCAAAAUAUUAUCGAUAAAUAAUAUAAAUUAUAAAGUACAUUUCUCGAUAAAGAAAGCAAAUUCAAUUAGAAACUUGCAAAAAAUUAAAUAAAUUUUGUAAGCAAUUUGACGGGUUAACAUUAUUUGAUAGAUUUAUAAAUUUCUAAAUUUUAUUGAACAUGAAAUAAUAUUAAAUUGACAUACCGUCAUCGGUCUCCUAACUCAUCACAACCCAUCUAGCAAAUACAAAAAAAUAAAUAAUUGCAACAGUUUAUUCAUUUUAAAAUUUGUAUUUGAAAAAAAAAAGUAGAUUAAAAUUACGUACCGUGACUACGAAAUAUUAUGAAAAACUUGUUUGUAGACAACAUUCAAUAUUUUUGUCUGCGGCUUCCCUUCUUUACCAGUUAUUAGGAUUUUUAAUCCAGAUCUCGACUUAACUCUUGAAAGUGAAACUUUGCCUUGCAUUUUGUAAGCAUUUUAUAAAUUAUUUUAAAAUUAUGAUAAAUUUAUUCUUUAAAAAACGAUAAAUAAUUUAAAAAUAAUAUUAAUAAACAUUUUUGGCUUUUGUAAUAUUUAAAAUAGUUAUUAUAUAAUUAUAUUCGAACAUAAUUUAUCAAGUAGAGUAUAAAACUAUUAUAAUUAUCUUAUAUAAAAUUUCGUUCAUUGUAUUUUAUAGUUUAUAAAUAUUAAAAGUAAUAAAUAAAACAUUAUUAAUCUUUCUAUAAUACUUCCAAGGUAAAGUGGGUGGCAGAGUCGAUGAAAGUGGGUCGCAGAGUCGAUUCAUCAAGUAACAUAUAAUACUUCCAAGGCAAAGUGGGUGGCAGAGUCGAUGAAAGAUGAGGAGCCUUUGCGUCUAAACACAUUUUUCUUACCACACAAGCAGGAUCGUCGUAAUACCUUAAUAGUAUGAGAGUAGAGAUUUAUAAAUAAUACUUUAAAGAAUGAAAAGAGAAUGUUUGUAUUUUAAGACCUUGGGUGUCUCAUAUAUAUAUACAGUCGAUUUAUUUCUCAUAUUAAUGACGCACAAUAUUUUGCACAAUAAAUAAUGAAAUCGUUUAAAGAAAGAUAUUAAAUGUGUAUUGUCAAAAAAUGAUUUGCAUAUGAUAUGAUUUUAACUUGCGCAAGUAAUCUAUAUUAGAAAUAUAAGUUAUUAAAAACAAACAACCUAAUUAGAAACAUAAAAAUAUUUUGUAAGCAAUAUAAUAAAUAUGAUAUCAACAUGCGCAAGUUUACCGUUUGAACAAUAAGGAAAGUUUUUAAUAUUUGUCUUAAUUCUAAAUCUUGCCCAAGGGUAAACUAAAUCGAUAAUAUUUAAUGAUUUCAACUUGCGCAAGUAAUCCAUAUUGUGAAUAAGUGAUUUGCAUAUUUAAUGAUUUCAACUUGCGCAAGUAAUCCAUAUUGUGAAUAAGUGAUUUGCAUAUUUAAUGAUUUCAACUUGCGCAAGUAAUCUAUAUUAGAAAGGUAAGUUAUUAAAAACAAAUUUUGUCAAUAAGUUAUUUGCAUAUUUAAUGAUUUCAACUUGCGCAAGUAAUCCAUAUUAGAAAGGUAAGUUAUUAAAAACAAAUUUUGUCAAUAAGUUAUUUGCAUAUUUAAUGAUUUCAACUUGCGCAAGUAAUCCAUAUUAGAAAGGUAAGUUGUUAAAAACAAACAACCUAAUUAGUAGGGGUGGGCACUUUACCCGAUAUCCGAAGUGGCACCCGGACCCGAUCCGAAAAUGCAUGUCAAGUUUUUUAUAUAAAAUAUUAACAAAAAAUUACAUCCAAUUUUUUUAAAAAAAAUAACUAAAUUAAUGCCUUUUUAGUUUUAAAUUUUUAUGUCUAAAUCUAUUAACCAUUCAAUCUAUUAAAAAUAAAAAAUUGGUUAACUGAAAAUUAUAUUUUUAAAUAUAAGAAACUUGAAAAAUGAAAAUUUUAAUUUUUUUUUUCAAAAUCUAAAUAUCCGACCCGAUCUGAAAUAACCGAAUCCGAACUAAAAACACCCAAACCCGACCCGAAGUACAGAAAUACCCGAACGGGUUCUACACCUCUAUACCGAAAUACUCGAAAAUCCAAAAUAGCCGACCCGAACCCGAACGGGUACCCGAACGCCCACCCCUACUAAUUAGAAAAAUUAUAAUAUUUUCUACGCAAAUGUAAUUAAUAUGAUAUCAACAUGCGCAAGUUUACUGUUUGAAUAAUAAGGAAAGUUUUUAAUAUUUGUCUUAGUUCUAAAUCUUGCCCAAUGCUAAACUAAAUCGAUAAUUAUUAUCCCCUAGCUAUAUAUGGGCUUAACGAAAUCGACAAUAUUUUUGGGCUUGUCUACAUAAGCGAUUGAUUAAAAUAAAAUUCAAAAAAAUCGACCAAUAGAAUUAUAACAAUUUUUCUGAGAAGCUUUAUAUUAAUGACAUGUCAGCAAAAAUCACUAAAGUGACUUCUCUUUUAAUGUAUAGGGGGAUUGUAUAUGUGUCGUAAUUCUUUAUUUAGGUGAAUAAUAUUAUUUUUCCAUCAAUAAUAAACAAACAUUUAUGUAGACAUAUUAAAAGAAAAUAUAAAAAAAUCAAAAUAUUAUCCAUAAAUAAUAUAAAUUAUGAAGUACAUUUAUCGAUAAAGAAAGCAAAUUCAAUUAGAAACGUGCAAAAAAUUAAAUAAAUUUUGUAAGCAAUUUGACGGGUUAACAUUAUUUGAUAGAUUUAUAAAUUUCUAAAUUUUAUUGAACAUGAAAUAAUAUUAAAUUGAUAUACCGUCAUCGGUCUCCUAACUCAUCACAACCUAUCUGGCAAAUACAAAAAAUAAAUAAUUGCAAGAGUUUAUAUAUUUCAAAAUUUGUAUUUGAAAAAAAGUAGAUUAAAAUUACGUACCAUGACUACGGAAUAUUCAGAAAAUUUGUUUGUAGACAACAUUCAAUGUUUUUGUCUUCGGCUUCCCUUCUUUACGAGUUAUUAGGAUUUUUAAUCCAGAUCUCGACUUAACUCUUGAGAGUGCAACUUUGCCUUGCAUUUUGUAUGCAUUUUAUUAAUUAUUUUAAAAUUAUGAUAAAUUUAUUCUUUAAACAAUGAUAAAUAAUUUAAAAAUAAUAUUAAUAAACAUUUUUGGAUUUUGUAAUAUUUAAAAUAGUUAUUAUAUAAUUAUAUUCGAACACAAUUCAUCAAGUAGAGGAUAAAACUAUUAUAAUUAUCUUAUAUAAAAUUUCGUUUAUUUUAUUUUAUAGGUUAUAAAUAUUAAAAGUAAUAAAUAAAAUGUUUGUAUUUUAAGAGAUUUGUGAAUAAUACUUUAAAGAAUGAAAAGAGAAUGUUUGUAUUUUAAGACCUUGGGUGUCUCCUAUAUAUAUAUACAGUCGAUUUAUUCUCAUAUUAAUGAUUUUAAUAUUUUGUACAAUAAAUAAUAAAAUCGUUUAAAGAAAGAUAUUAAAUGUGUAUUGUCAAAAAAUGAUUUGCAUAUGAUAUGAUUUUAACUUGCGCAAGUAAUCCAUAUUAGAAAGGUAAGUUAUUAAAAACAAACAACCUAAUUAGAAACAUUAAAAUAUUUUGUAAGCAAUAUAAUAAAUAUGAUAUCAACAUGCGCAAGUUUACCGUUUGAAUAAUAAGGAAAGUUUUUAAUAUUUGUCUUAAUUCUAAAUCUUGCCCAAUGUAAACUAAAUCGAUAAAAUUUAAUGAUUUCAACUUGCGCAAGUAAUCCAUAUUGUGAAUAAGUGAUUUGCAUAUUUAAUGAUUUCAACUUGCGCAAGUAAUCCAUAUUGUGAAUAAGUGAUUUGCAUAUUUAAUGAUUUCAACUUGCGCAAGUAAUCCAUAUUGUGAAUAAGUGAUUUGCAUAUUUAAUGAUUUCAACUUGCGCAAGUAAUCCAUAUUUGUCAAAAAAUGAUUUGCAUAUGAUAUGAUUUUAACUUGUGCAAGUAAUCCAUAUUAGAAAGGUAAGUUAUUAAAAACAAACAACCUAAUUAGUAGGGGUGGGCACUUUACCCGAUAUCUGAAGUGGCACCCAAACCCGAUCCGAAAAACCCGAACUGAAAUCCGAACCGAAGUAGCAAAAUACCUGAACGGGUAUUGAAUAAGGAGAGAUUGGAUACCUGAACCCGAAUGGAUAAUACCCGAACCCGAAUGGAUAUCCGAAGAUAACCAAACAUAUGUAUAAUUAAUAAUUAACCUUAUAUUUUUAGUUUACAUCUCUCAUUUUAUAUAAAAUAUUUAUAUUGAUACUACACAUACUUUAAGUUCAUAUAAUAUACAUACAAUUACGAAAAAAAUGAUUUGCUACUCACUUAAAAUGCAUGUCAAGUUUUUUAUUAAAAAAAUUAACAAAAAGUUACAUCCGAAAUUUUUAAAAAAUAACUACAUUAAUGCCUUUUUAGUUUUAAAAUGUUAUGUCCAAAUCUAUUAACUAUUCAAUCUAUUAAAAAUAAAAAAUUAGUUAACUGAAAGUUAUAUUUUUAAAUAUAAGAAACUUGAGAAAUAAAAAUUUUAAUUUUUUUUUCAAAAUCUAAAUAUCCGAACGAGAUCCGAAAUAACCAAAUCCGAACUAAAAAUACCCGAACCCGACCCGAAGUACAGAAAUACCCGAACGGGUUCUACACCUCUAUAGCGAAAUAUCCGAAAAUCCAAAAUACCCGACCCGAACCCGAACGGGUACCCAAGGCUAAACUAAAUCGAAAAUUAUUGUCCCCUAGCUAUAUAUGGGCUUAACAAAAUUGACAAUAGUUUUGGGGUUUUCUACAUAAGCGAUUGAUUAAAAUAAAUGAAAAAGAAAAAUUCAAAAAAACCAGCCAAUAGAAUUAUAACGUUUUUCUGAGAAGCUAUAUAUGAGUGCCACCUCAGCAGAAAUCACUAAAGUGACUUCUCUUUUAAUGUAUAGGGGGAUAUUUAUAUUGAUACUACCCAUACUUUAAGUUCAUAUGAUAUACAUACAAUUACGAAAAAAUGAUUUGCUACUCACUUAAUAUUUUUUAUUAAAAAAAUUAACAAAAAGUGACAUCCGAAAUUUAAAAAAAUAACUAAAUUAAUGCCUUUUUAGUUUUAAAAUGUUAUGUUCAAUUCUAUUAACUAUUCAAUCUAUUAAAAAUAAAAAAUUAGUUAACUGAAAGUUAUAUUUUUAAAUAUAAGAAACUUGAGAAAUAAAAAUUUUAAUUUUUUUUUCAAAAUCUAAAUAUCCGAACGAGAUCCGAAAUAACCAAAUCCGAACUAAAAAUACCCGAACCCGACCCGAAGUACAGAAAUACCCGAACGGGUUCUACACCUCUAUAGCGAAAUAUCCGAAAAUCCAAAAUACCCGACCCGAACCCGAACGGGUACCCAAGGCUAAACUAAAUCGAAAAUUAUUGUCCCCUAGCUAUAUAUGGGCUUAACAAAAUUGACAAUAGUUUUGGGGUUUUCUACAUAAGCGAUUGAUUAAAAUAAAUGAAAAAGAAAAAUUCAAAAAACCAGCCAAUAGAAUUAUAACGUUUUUCCUGAGAAGCUCUAUAUGAGUGCCACCUCAGCAGAAAUCACUAAAGUGACUUCUCUUUUAAUGUAUAGGGGGAUAUUUAUAUUGAUACUACCCAUACUUUAAGUUCAUAUGAUAUACAUACAAUUACGAAAAAAUGAUUUGCUACUCACUUAAUAUUUUUUAUUAAAAAAAUUAACAAAAAGUGACAUCCGAAAUUUAAAAAAAUAACUAAAUUAAUGCCUUUUUAGUUUUAAAAUGUUAUGUCCAAAUCUAUUAACUAUUCAAUCUAUUAAAAAUAAAAAAUUAGUUAACUGAAAGUUAUAUUUUUAAAUAUAAGAAACUUGAGAAAUGAAAAUUUUAAUUUUUUUUUUCAAUAUCUAAAUAUCCGAACCAGAUCCGAAAUAACCGAAUCCGAACUAAAAAUACCCGAAGUACAGAAAUACCCGAACAGGUUCUACACCUCUAUACCGAAAUAUCCGAAAAUCUGAAAUACCUGACCCGAACCCGAACGGGUGCCCAAGGCUAAACUAAAUCAAUAAUUAUUACCCCCUAGCUAUAUAUGGGCUUAACGAAAUCGACAAUAGUUUUGGGCUUGUCUACAUAAGCGAUUGAUUAAAAUAAAUGAAAAAGAAAAAUUCAAAAAACCAGCCAAUAGAAUUAUAACGUUUUUCCUGAGAAGCUCUAUAUGAGUGCCACCUCAGCAGAAAUCACUAAAGUGACUUCUCUUUUAAUGUAUAGGGGGAUACAAUACCACUGAAAUAAUUAAUAAACAUAAAUCUAAAUUAUUAUUUUUUCCUAAAUCUAUUCCACAACAAAUUCAUGAUAAAUAUUACACUUAAUGCACAUUAAUACUAUAAACCUUAAUAUGUAAAGUAGAAAAAUUAUUUCUAUAAUUUCAUGGGUAUUAUCUUCUAUUAAAUAAUGUUUAUUACACUGUCAAAAUUUUAUUGUUAAUGAAAUCAAUUAACAAUAUUUAAAAAAUUUAAAGGAUAUGUCGUAUUUGAGAAUAAAAACUUAAUAAUGAGAACAUAUUUAAAAAGAUCCAUUUUACAUGAUAAUUCUAAAUUUUACCUAAUUAAAAUUUUCAAAUAACCAAUAUGACUAAUCUAUUUAAUUGACGAUAUUGUUUUAGAUAUAUAUAACUAAAAUGCUAUUAGAAAAUUAUUUUUAAAUUAUGUAUGAUAUUACACAUGUUCAAUUAAAUUUUACCUUAAAUUAUUUUCUUUAGUAAGGAUUUGAAAUAUUAGAUUUGGUAAUAACAUGUACAUUUAAGUAUUAGUAUUAAAAAAAUUAAAAACACCUAAGAUUUUUCUUAUGAGAAAAUUGAUAGGGAAAGUUUCAAAAGAAUAUUAUUCAAGUUUUGUAUGCGAAGAAAAACAUUUAGAUAAGAUAAAAAUGUUGUAAAAAAAAAUAAAAAAAUCAUAUAAAAUAAAAAUCCUGCAUAUAAUAAAAUGUUAAAGUCAAUAAGUUAAAAUAAAAUUAAUUUGAUAAUAAUAUAAAUACGAGAAAUGCAAUUACUCAUUCUAACAAAUUACUCAUUUUCAUAAGUAUAAUAUAAAUAUUUUAGUGUUAAAAAUGGAUGACGAAUAUUUAUAUAUUGGGUUGAGAAAUUAAAAAUUAAGAUUACUUAUAUAACGGAUUGGAAAUUUAAAUAUAGUUAUCAUUUAUGACCAAAAACCUAUCAAAACAUCUCAAACAUUAUUUUCGCAUAUAUAUUUUAGUUUAUGGAAAACACACACAUAAACUAAAAUAAACUAAAAAAUGUAUAUUUUAAUUAUUAUGCGUAAUGUCAUAAUAAAAAUAAAUAAUACGUGAAAAAUAAAUAAAUAUUAUGUUAUUUAUAGAAAAAAAAUAAUAUAUAUAUAUAUUUUAUUUUUUUUUGUCAUCAACUUUACAGACUCAUAUUGACUCUGUGAACCAAACUGGGAGAUCUUGAUCCAUGUGAACUACAAAAGACGUUUCCUUCCUAGCACUGCGAGCUAAGCUAUCUGCCUUCUUGUUCUGCGUUCUUGGUACAUAGAUAAUCUCUGCUCGGAAAAAAUUCUCUUUCAGGCUGUUUAUAUCUUCCAAAUAACUUGCAAAUGCUGGCCAUUCUUCUGGUUCUGAAACUAUCUUCACCAAUUGAGAACAAUCCGCUGCAAACGUAACCUGAAAUUGUCGUAAGUUUUUCAUACAUUCCAUUGCCCAUAAUAAAGCUUCCAUCUCCGCAUGAAGAGGAGUAAGGGAAGCCCGAACAUUUCUUGCACCCAUCAAACCCGCAAAUCCUUCUAGAGUACUAUACCAUCCUUGACCUGAAAAAACCUCAUUCUCUUUCCAGGAACCAUCCGUAAAACACCAUCUUCCUGAAAUUGACGGAAGAAUCGUAGCCUCUACCUGUGGACUCCUCUUGUGAUCAGUCAGUAUUUGUGCCUCAGCCCAGAGUUUUGAUUCCGUUUUCUGCCAGUUUAAGGGUAUCCAACGGAUCCACAUCCAAAUUACUAAAGACUUUAUUAUUUCGUCAUUUCCAUAUAUACCAUAGUAUCCAUGCAAACUGAUGAUCCUCCAUCUGUGGAACAAUUCUCCAAAAGAGAUGAUCCAUGUUCACAAAGAGAGAACUUAUUGGAAACAUAGCUGGAUUUGUUGGAAUCUUUGAAAGAGCCCAUGUCUGAAGUGCAGGAGGACAUUCAAAGAAUACAUGGUUGAUCGAUUCCUCCUCAGCUCCACAUCUUGCACAAACGAUAUCUCCGGGUAUCCUUCGCUUAUGCAGAUUCUUCUUGACUGCUAUACACCCUGUCACCAAUUGCCAUAGAAAAUGCUUAAUCUUUGGUGGACACCGUAUUUUCCAACAAUAUACCCUCAACAUAUCCACUGUGGGUCCAAACACUAAUGCUGGUUUUUCCUUAUCUGGGUAUAUCCUUUCAACCUGAUAUCCAGAUUUAACCGUGUAUUUUCCAUUGUUUGUGAAAUGCCAUCCAUCUUUGUCUGCCAUCCGAGUUCUACUCAAUGGUAUACUUUCUAUUAAUUUCACAUCCUGUGGGUCCAUCAAAGCCCGAAGCGCCGGGAAAUUCCAUCUUCGCAAAUGAGGAUCAAUAAGAGAAUCCACUGUAAGGUCUGGGUAAAGAUUGUGUUGAUUUUUAUUUGCUGGUCUCGGGCGAGUGGUUGGGAGCCAAGGAUCAUUCCAUACGGAUAUAUAAGAUCCUGUUCCCACCCUUUUGAUUAGUCAUUUGCUUACCAGAGAUCUAGCAGAAACAAUACUCCGCCAACCAUAUGACGGAGAGUAUGAACGAAU